CCUACGGGAGGCAGCAGUGAGGAAUAUUGGUCAAUGGGCGAGAGCCUGAACCAGCCAAGUCGCGUGAGGGAGUACUGCCCUAUGGGUUGUAAACCUCUUUUGUCGGGGAGCAAAAGCCGGACGUGUCCGGCUGUGAGAGUACCCGAAGAAAAAGCAUCGGCUAACUCCGUGCCAGCAGCCGCGGUAAUACGGAGGAUGCGAGCGGUAUCCGGAUUUAUUGGGUUUAAAGGGUGCGCAGGCGGAUUUUUAAGUCAGCGGUAAAAUCGUGGGGCUCAACCCCAUCCAGCCGUUGAAACUGGGGAUCUAGAGUGUGCGAGAGGUAUGCGGAAUGCGUGGUGUAGCGGUGAAAUGCAUAGAUAUCACGCAGAACCCCGAUUGCGAAGGCAGCAUACCGGUGCACAACUGACGCUCAGGCACGAAAGCGUGGGUAUCGAACAGGAUUAGAUACCCCUGUAGUC
rnacentral:rRNA from 1 species